rnacentral:tRNA from 3 species
GGGGCUGUCGCAUAAUGGGAGUGCGCCGCGGUCGCAUCGCGGAGAUGCGGGUUCGAUUCCCGCCAGCUCCA